rnacentral:rRNA from 1 species
GACGAACGCUGGCGGCGCGCUUAACACAUGCAAGUCGAACGGAAAGGCCUGCUUUCCCUUGUGGAUUGCGGGUACUCGAGUGGCGAACGGGUGAGUAACACGUGAGUGAUCUGCCCCCAACUUGGGUAUAAGCCUGGGAAACUGGGUCUAAUUCCCGAUAGGACUGCAGGGUGGUGCCUGUGGUGGAAAACGAUUUUCUAGUGGUUGGGGAUGAGCUCGCGGCCUAUCAGCUUGUUGGUGGGGUAAUGGCCUACCAAGGCGGCGACGGGUAGCCGGCCUGAGAGGGUGGACGGCCACAUUGGGACUGAGAUACGGCCCAGACUCCUACGGGAGGCAGCAGUGGGGAAUAUUGCACAAUGGGCGGAAGCCUGAUGCAGCGAUGCCGCGUGGGGGAUGACGGCCUUCGGGUUGUAAACUCCUUUCGACCGCGAGGAAGCCACCUGGUUGGAAGGGUGGUGACGGUAGUGGUAGAAGAAGCACCGGCUAACUACGUG